UAAUCACGCUUCCAUAGUACAUACAUGGAAGCGAUGGAAGCAUUAUCCCAGUUGAUAGAUUGUAAAAUGUGAUGUGACUUUAAACAUAAAUAUUUAAACGAAAAUGUGAAACAGGCGAUUAAUAUUUGGCAUAUUUGGGUAAUAAUAUUUGGGCUAAACAGCUCGCUGGACAAUCUUCAAUCCGAUCUGAUGGGGGUCCUUAUGUGUCCAGUGUUAUUAGCUUUAUAAAGAUACACUUGUGCUAAGAUAGCGAUAUCAAUCGUGACUUGCAGAACUCCACAUACUUGGAAUUGAACGGGAGUAUCCC